GAUUUCGCAGUUCAAGAGGAUGGCGGGGGCAACCUCUCUACAUCUGCGGGCCGGUAGGCCAGCCAACUAACUCUUCAAAUGAAGAACUUAUUUCCCCACAUCUAGGAACCUCUCAUUACCAGUCCUCGGGAUUCCGGAGGUUGGUCGGGUUCUCAAAGUCUUUCCACUCAGUCCAGAGGUUUUUCUGGUUCAUCGAAUCUAAUUUAUCCCAGUCAGGCCCGAUUCUCUGGGUCAAAGAAUCUCGUAUAUCCCCCCCGGGUAUAUCUUCCACUCUUAAAAGUUUUAAUUUGGCUUUAGGGAGGUCUAAAAUCCUUCUUUUCCAAAUUUCCCCCAAAUAAUGACUUUUACGUAAUUCCUCAUUACUUCGCAAACUUUUAAGGAUCUCCCUUAAGGUUUUUACAUCAUAUUCUUCUCCGUUUCCUUUUCAGAUGGCAUUGCCAGCACCAUCCGUAUUCCAAAGGAUGUGGCAAUUUUGAGGGCCAGAUUUAUCCAUUAGCUCCGCUAGUAUUGACGAUUUCUUAAUAUAAAUUAUCUCUACUAGUGUCAUAAGCUUCUCUUGGGAUAAUACCGAGGUUUUCCUAGUGGCAUCAAGAUGCACCAAAUUGAAAUAGAUUUGCUCUUUGCUAAGAGGUACAUGAAUGGUAGGAGAUACAUCCAUAUCCAUGGUUGGAGAUAAAUCCAUUGGUGGAUUCGAAGUACUUGGGCCUGUACCUCCAUAAUUUUCUAAUAUCGGUGGAGUCGAAGUACUUGGACCUGCACAUCCAUAAUUUUCUAAUAUUGGGUUAUGCAGACGACCAGGAAUUUUAUAAAACAUAUUAUUCUCCCCAAUUGCAUGUCUUGUCAUAUAGUCAAGAAAAUGAGCUUGGGAUUGAAAAUCGAGUUGCAAACUUAAAGGUAUAGCUGGCCCUUGUAUAGGUUGGAGCUCCGUGAACCCUUGUGGGGCUGGCGUCUCCUGAACUAUUUGAGCAGCCCCCCUUGUGGCUGGGGUAGACUCUCAGUAGUAUUGGUAAAGAAGGGUUGUGCUGCCGCUAAUAAUUCAAAGACAGCCGAAGAAACGGUUCUCAUGGGGUUCAGUCUCACAAGAGACACUUUUCUUCCUCGGGGUGAAGAGGUGGAGUGCAUGCCAGUGGACACCGUCUUAAAAGUGACUCUGCUAAGCGAUGGUGGCGUCUCUCUACUAAUCGCAUUCUGUUUAAGAAUCACUGUUCUCAUGAUCGAAUGACGAAAUAGAUAUACGAACUGUAUAGGAUCAUUCGCUGGGAUGGGAUAAGUGAUUCUUUUAUAGGAUUCUCAUGGGAUCGUAGAAUCAACUAAGGAUGGAAUAGGUAUUUGUGAUCGAUCAGCUUCCAGUAUGACCGAAGACUUUCUAUCUGCAUUCAAAAUAACCACACAAUCAGGUUGUUGGUUCAACCCAAAAUUGAUCUUCUUCUUUCUUGAACGGAAUUUUUUUUUAUUUGCAAAAGAAUUGGUCAAAAACGCCCCGAUCUUCCAUUGAGAAUCAUCGAAACAAUGAGAAUUCACAUUUCUUAAAUAGCUUCUUAAAUAGCUCGCCAUUUCUUCCGUUAUCUCAUAAAUAAAUAAAUGAUUGGUCUUUAAAAAGAAGGAACGGCCUUUUUGACGAAUGGGAGAUCUUAUAAAAUGAAGAGCGUUUCGUAAACAAAUCAGUGUCUUGUCUGAAUCGAGAAUAGCAAUUCCAUUUCUUGAACCACGGAUAUAGACUUUGAAAUGGUGAUCAGCUACCCGACGGCCGAGAUGUGCAUUCGUACAAAGUAAUUUAGUACAGACUAUCGAAAGCAUUGUCAUUUUGCGAUUUGAGUUCCGGAGAUACAGGUGGUAAGUUAUGGGUAAUGCGGGGAACUUUAAGACGAGAUAGGAUACCUAAUAUGGGAGUGGUUUAAGUGAGAGAAUAGCUCCCUUACCAAACCAACUGAGCUAUUUGCCAUGUUUUUGACAAAUGACCUAACUUUGAUGUGAUGUGCCCGGCUAGCCCGGAUCAUUCUUAGAGCAGUCGAGGUUACCGGAAUUACGGCCUUCCAUACAAGAACUGGCACUAUUGUAACUCGCUAUGGGCCUCCUGCCUUCUCGAAAGAAACUGGCUUUUGAAGAAAUUACUCUAUUUUACGCAUUUAGUUGAAGCGGAUUCAAAGAGCUCUAUCGAGCAAGGAAGGAGUAUACUAUACUGUAGCUGGAUAAGCUAGAUACCAAAACUUUGAUAAAGAUUGAGGCAACCCAUUUGAGGAAGAACCGUACGGACCCCUGUGGAGAUGGCUAGAACAAUCCUCGAUGAGGCACUUCGCAUGGUAUCUUGCUUGGCUACCCUGGACACUCGUCUGGAUAUCCUUCCAUGACAAUUAUGACCUUUAAAGGUAUCCAGAUAGUUACCAAAUUCACCUGAACUUUCAGAGUUGGAACUGAUUGGACAUAGUAGUAGGUACCAAAACUCCACAACAACAUUACAUUAACCAAUAUGUGGGCAGAUCCUUCUGUCCAAUUGAGAGUGCAUUGGAUAUAGAAGAAGCUGGACAAGUGAACUCGCUUUAAACCAACUAAAUGCAAUUGUACGGGAAUCAACUUCUCAUUUAUUGUCUUUUCAGUUGAUGAUCCACUUGGAUAUGCUCUUGUGGAGGACUUAAUGAUUAUUCGUUCGCCGGAACCAGAAGUAAAAAUUGUUGUGGAUAGGGAUACUGUAAAAACAUCUUUUGAGGAAUGGGCCAGACCCGACCAUUUCUCAAGAACACUAGCUAAGGGCCCUGAUACUACCACUUGGAUCUGGAACCUACAUGCCGAUGCUCACGAUUUCGAUAGUCAUACUGGUGAUUUGGAGGAGAUUUCUAGAAAAGUCUUUAGUGCUCAUUUCGGGCAACUUUCCAUUAUCUUUCUUUGGUUGAGUGGCAUGUACUUUCAUGGUGCCCGUUUUUCCAAUUAUGAAGCAUGGCUAAGUGAUCCUACUCACAUUGGACCCAGUGCUCAGGUAGUUUGGCCUAUAGUAGGGCAAGAAAUAGUGAAUGGUGAUGUAGGUGGGGGUUUCCGAGGAAUCCAAAUAACCUAAGGUUUUUUUCAGCUUUGGCGAGCAUCUGGAAUAACUAGUGAAUUACAACUCUAUUGUACUGCAAUUGGUGCAUUGAUUUUUGCAGCGUUAAUGCUUUUUGCUGGUUGGUUCCAUUAUCACAAAGCCGCUCCACAGUAGUGAAGUCUCAUCUUUUGUAUUGGCCGAAGUGACAAUAGUCACAUUGAACCCUCGAAUAUGCUCGAAGAUCUCGAAAUGAUCUUCCAGUUCCGGGGAGAAUUCGCAAAACUCCGUUUCCAUAAAGAAUUUGAUGGAGUUUUCCCGUAUUUCGACCGGAGAAUCUAACAUAGACAUUACUGUCAAGAUUCUUACCAAAAAAUGGUACAUUCCAUGCCCUCGGAGAACGCUUUGUCGUGCAAAGUCACUGGCAUAUCCAGUGUCUUUUUCGGACCCCAAGAAUGGAUUGGAUCGAAACGACUUUCCUGCUUGAAAAUAGGGGCCCCUUUGUGUCUGUAUGAAUCUCUGACCGCACAAAAUCUCCAUAGCCAAUUUUCCAAAUUGGAUUCUGAAAUCAGAGGAAGCUUUUGGUACUAAUCUUAUUUCAAACAAUCCACGAACUUCCAUAACAUUGGCGUGAUUCAGUUUGAGCAACAGAUCCUGACGUAAUACAUCUUCGUAAUGAAAAUGGAGUGGAAACAUCAUGGCUUUUCCGCUUUUUUUGAGAAUGAGCACUUUGAACUAUCCGCUUCAAAAAGGAUAGUUGAUCGAACCGAAACCAAUGUCAAGUACGAGUUAUUAAGCGCCGAAUCAAAAAAAGUGUACUUCCUUUACGCUUGAUGUAGGAUUUACCUAUUAAUAUGAAGUUCACUCUUCUGCUGACUUGAGUCCAGAAGGGAAGCGACUGAUUUCCAAUUCUUCUUUGCUAGCGCUUGACUCCUGUGGAAUUCCAUUAAAAAGCUUAAAAUAAAGCCUUUUAUUUGGUUUUUGAGAUACUAGUUAUUUAUAGGUUAAGUUCGAUAUUUCACUCCGUGGGCCGGCUAAUUAAUUCAAGUAAUUCCUGGAGGGGAAUCAAUCGAAGAGAUUGCCUGCCCAUGCUACAAUUCCUUACUCAAAAGGACUAGAGUGCUAAGCUACCCCCCCGGCACCACCACUAUAAUGAAUGGCUCAAACAAAUAGGAGAUGAGAAUAUAAUUGAUCCUUUCUAGAAUAGAGUAUAAAGAGAAGCUUGCCUUGAUAAAGCACAACCUUUCGCACUCCAGUAGGCAUAUAUUGUUACAAGGUUAUGUCCAAAGGUCUCACAAACGCCGGUGCUACAUAUCAACGCGCCAUGACUAAGAUCUUCGAUGAGAUAAUACAUAAGAUUGUCGAGUGCUAUGUAGAUGAUCUCGUUGUAAAGGCGGUAUCCUAUGAAGAACAUCUUCAACAUCUCAGAAUCGUAUUCGACCGCCUAAGGCAACAUGCACUCAAGUUAAACCCGUUGAAGUGCGCCUUCAUGGUCUCGUCAGGCAAAUUCAUAGGGUUUGUCAUUCGACAUCGGGGAAUAGAAAUCGACCCGAGUAAAAUCAAGGCCAUACUCGAAAUUCCUCCUCCUCAAAACCUUAAGGAGCUGCGUUCGCUUCAAGGGCGCCUGGCAUACAUCAGGCGAUUCAUAGCCAAUUUUGCAGGAAGAAUCCAACUCGAAUUAAGAUACCAACCAAGACUUCCCAUUCGCCGGGCGAGAUGAUCGGAUUUUGUUCCCCAUUUUCGAUAAGGUAUUAGUUUAGGUCUCUGCUGAGCCACUGAGCUAGAAGUGACUAUAGUUAUGGGUCUCGUCUCAAUGAAGCCAUCUUCUCCCCGAAAACUCUCUAUUUAGGAUCAAUGCCAUGUCCGAGUCAGUGUGGUUCCCCCGGCGCUGCUGUACUGACCAAGAGGUCUGAUUCAGUUGAAACACCCGAGUUAGCUAUUGAUAAAGGUCACUCAUUGAAAGGUCCAAAGAUACAAAUAAAUUAAGAUGUAGCUUUCUUAGUUUCAUACUUAUAGGAGGCGAUCCCUUGUUUUUUGACCCGGUAGAGCAAUCCGAAUUAGAUUUCAUAUAGGGAUCGUUCGUUUCUUCUCCACUUUACCCUGAUGUUUUAUGAGAAAUCAUUAUUUGUUUUUGUAUCACGCUGUUAUCUUUUUCGUUUCUUGAAAUAUCGAGUGAGAAUCUCAUUCAGCUUUUGAGGAUCCUCCAAAUUGUACUUAAGAUCAAUAAGGUCCCUAAGUGAUGUGGCGUCCUUUCCCUCGCAUUUCAUGAUUUGGUUGAUCCUAUCGGAAAAAAGCACAGUGGAAGGCAUCUGCCCCAGAGCCCUCAUGGGGGCACUUUGCUUAAAGUGUCUGAGUAGCAUUGAACCGAAAAUUUCAUUUUUAUCUAUUUGUUCGAUAACCGCCUUUCGAGCGUCAUCGUCGGAUGAUGGAUACUUUUGUCGUACUUCAUAGGUAUUUUCCCUUUUUAUCUUUUCCAAAAGGUUCACCCCGAAAUCUUGGUCCCGCUUUGCAUCUGUUUCAGCUAGGGAACAAGACUGGCUUUUGGAAGGUUUCCCUCCAUCUGUCGGAUCCAAGAGAGGGCCUGUGGUUGGGGUGGCGCCGCUCUCCUCCGAGCUGAAGGGAAUUUCUAUUAGGUCGUCCCGGGUACGCACUGAACUAAAGAAAAUUGGUUCUAUUAUCACAAAGCCGCUCCCAAAUUGGCCUGGUUCCAAGAUGUAGAAUCCAUGUUGAAUUACCACUUAGCGGGAUUAUUAGGACUUGGGUCUCUUUCUUUCUUUCUUGGGCGGGACACCAAAUUCAUGUAUCUUUACCAAUUAACCAAUUUCUUGACGCUGGGGUGGAUCCUAAAGAGAUACCACUUCCUCAUGAAUGUAUCUUGAAUCGGGACCUUUUGGCUCAACUUUAUCCUAGUUUUGCCGAAGGAGCAACCCCUUUUUUCACUUUAAAUUGGUCCAAAUACGCAGAAUUUCUGACUUUUCGCGGAGGACUAGAUCCAGUAACCGGUGGUCUCUGGCUGACCGAUAUUGCGCACCAUCAUUUAGCUAUUGCUAUUCUUUUCCUAAUCGCAGGUCAUAUGUAUAGGACCAACUGGGGUAUUGGCCAUGGACCUAAAGAUAUUUUGGAGGCUCACAAGGGCCCAUUUACAGGACAAGGCCAUAAGGGUCUUUAUGAAAUCUUAACAACGUCAUGGCAUGCUCAAUUAUCUCUUAACCUAGCUAUGCUAGGCUCUACAACCAUUGUUGUAGCUCAUCAUAUGUAUUCUAUGCCUCCCUAUCCAUACCUAGCUACUGACUAUGGUACACAACUUUCCUUGUUCACACACCACAUGUGGAUUGGCGGAUUUCUAAUAGUCGGUGCUGCUGCACAUGCAACAAUUUUUAUGGUAAGAGACUAUGAUCCAACUACUCGAUACAACGAUCUAUUAGAUCGCGUCCUUAGACACCGCGAUGCAAUCAUAUCCCACCUUAACUGGGUAUGUAUAUUUCUAGGUUUUUACAGUUUUGGCUUGUACAUUCAUAAUGAUACCAUGAGUGCUUUAGGCCGUCCACAAGAUAUGUUUUCGGAUACCGCCAUACAAUUACAACCUAUCUUUUCUCAAUGGGUACAAAAUAUCCAUGCUACUGCGCCUGGCGUAACAGCUCCUGGUGCAACAACAACUACUAGCUUAACGUGGGGAGGCGGCGAGUUAGUAGCAGUAGGUGGCAAAGUGGCUUUGUUACCUAUUCCAUUAGGAACCGCGGAUUUUUUAGUCCAUCACAUUCAUGCAUUUACCAUACAUGUGACUGUAUUAAUACUUUUGAAAGGUGUUUUAUUUGCUCGGAGUUCCCGUUUGAUACCCGAUAAAGCAAAUCUAGGUUUUCGCUUUCCUUGCGAUGGGCCUGGCCGAGGGGGAACAUGUCAAGUAUCUGCCUGAGAUCAUGUUUUCUUAGGUUUAUUCUCGAUGUACAAUGCAAUUUCGGUAGUCAUUUUCCAUUUCAGUUGGAAAAUGCAGUCGGAUGUUUGGGGUACCAUAAGUGAUCAAGGGGUGGUAACUCAUAUUACAGGGGGAAACUUUGCACAGUGUUCCAUUACGAUUAAUGGGUGGCUUCGAGAUUUCUUGUGGGCACAGGCAUCGCAAGUCAUUCAGUCUUAUGGUUCUUCAUUAUCUGCAUAUGGUAUUUUUUCUUAGGUGCUCAUUUUGUCUGGGCCUUCAGUUUAAUGUUUUUAUUCAGCGGCCGUGGUUAUUGGCAAGAACUCAUUGAAUCUAUCGUUUGGGCUCAUAACAAAUUAAAAGUUGCUCCUGCUACUCAGCCUAGAGCCUUGAGCAUUAUACAAGGACGUGAUGUAGGAGUAACCCAUUACCUUCUGGGUGGAAUUGCCAUGACAUGGGCAUUCUUCUUAGCGAGAAUUAUUGCAGUAGGAUAGUGGCUAGGAGGAUUUGAAAGGCAUUAUGGAAUUAAGAUUUCCCAGGUUUAGCCAAGGCUUAGCUCAGGGCCCCACUACUCGUCGUAUUUGGUUUGGUAUUGCUACCGCACAUGAUUUCGAAAGUCAUGAUGAUAUUACUGAAGAACGUCUUUAUCAGAACAUUUUUGCUUCUCACUUUGGGCAAUUAGCAAUAAUCUUUCUAUGGACGUCCGGAAAUCUGUUUCAUGUAGCUUGGCAAGGAAAUUUGGAAUCAUGUAUACAGGAUCCUUUACACGUAAGACCUAUUGCUCAUGCGAUUUGGGAUCCUCAUUUUGGUCAACCCGCUGUGGAAGCCUUUACUCGAGGAGGUGCUGCUGGUCCAGUGAAUAUUGCUUAUUCUGGAGUUUAUCAGUGGUGGUAUACAAUAGGAUUACGCACCAAUGAAGAUCUUUAUACUGGAGCUCUUUUUCUAUUAUUUCUUUCUGCGCUGUCCUUAAUAGCGGGUUGGUUACAUCUACAACCCAAAUGGAAACCAAGCCUUUCGUGGUUCAAAAACGCGGAAUCUCGUCUCAAUCAUCAUUUGUCAGGACUUUUCGUGGUAAUUUCUUUGGCUUGGACAGGACAUUUAGUUCAUGUUGCUAUUCCCGCAUCCAGGGGGAGUACGUUCGAUGGAAUAAUUUAUUAGAUGUAUUACCCUAUCCCCAGGGGUUGGGACCCCUUUUGACGGGUCAGUGGAAUCUUUAUGCCCAAAACCCUGAUUCGAGUAAUCAUUUAUUUGGUACCGCUCAAGGAGCGGGAACUACCAUUCUAACUCUUCUUGGGGGAUUCCAUCCACAAACACAAAGUUUGUGGCUGACUGAUAUGGCUCACCAUCAUUUAGCUAUUGCAUUUAUUUUUCUCAUUGUCGGUCACAUGUAUCGAACUAACUUCGGAAUUGGGCACAGUAUUAAAGAUCUUUUAGAAGCGCAUACUUCUCCGGGGGGUCGAUUAGGGCGUGGGCAUAAGGGCCUUUAUGACACAAUCAACAAUUUGAUUCAUUUUCAGUUAGGUCUUGCUCUAGCUUCUUUAGGGGUUAUUACUUCCUUAGUAGCUCAACAUAUGUACUCUUUACCUCCUUAUGCAUUCAUAGCACAAGACUUUACUACUCAAGCUGCUUUAUAUACUCAUCACCAAUAUAUCGCGGGGUUCAUCAUGACAGGGGCUUUUGCUCAUGGAGCAAUUUUUUUCAUUAGGGAUUACAAUCCGGAACAGAAUGAGGAUAAUGUAUUGGCAAGAAUGUUAGACCAUAAAGAAGCUAUCAUAUCUCAUUUAAGUUGGGCUAGCCUCUUUCUAGGAUUCCAUACCUUGGGCCUUUAUGUUCAUAACGACGUCAUGCUUGCUUUUGGUACUCCAGAAAAGCAAAUCUUGAUCGAACCUAUAUUUGCCCAAUGGAUACAAUCUGCUCAUGGCAAGACGACAUAUGGGUUGGAUAUACUCUUAUCGUCAACGAAUGGCCCCUCUUUCAAUGCGGGUCGAAGCCUAUGGUUGCCCGGAUGGUUGAAUGAUGUUAAUGAGAAUAGUAAUUCGCUUUUCUUAACAAUAGGACCAGGGGAUUUCUUGAUUCAUCAUGCUAUUGCUCUAGGUUUGCAUACAACUACAUUGAUUUUAGUAAAGGGCGCUUUAGAUGCACGCGGUUCCAAAUUAAUGCCGGAUAAAAAGGAUUUUGGGUAUAGUUUUCCUUGUGACGGCCCAGGGCGCGGCGGUACUUGUGAUAUUUCUGCUUGGGACGCAUUUUAUUUGGUAGUUUUGUGGAUGUUAAAUACAAUUGGGUGGGUUACAUUUUAUUGGCAUUAGAAACAUAUCACAUUAUGGCAGGGCAACGUUUCACAAUUUAAUGAAUCCUCCACUUAUUUGAUGGGAUGGUUAAGAGAUUACCUAUGGUUAAACUCUUCACAACUUAUCAAUGGAUAUAAUCCUUUUGGGAUGAAUAGUUUAUCGGUAUGGGCGUGGAUGUUCUUAUUUGGACAUCUUGUUUGGGCUACUGGAUUUAUGUUCUUAAUUUCCUGGCGGAGGUAUUGGCAGGAAUUAAUUGAGACUUUAGCAUGGGCUCAUGAACGCACACCUUUAGCUAAUUUAAUUCGCUGGAGAGAUAAGCCCGUGGCUCUUUCCAUUGUGCAAGCAAGAUUGGUUGGAUUAGCUCACUUUUCCUUGGGUUAUAUAUUCACUUAUGCAGCUUUCUUGAUUGCCUCAACAUCAGGCACGUUUGGUUAAUUUAGUUUGUUUUUUGUACUGUAUCAGCACCUAGUUCAUUACUCUUGAUAGAGAGGGAGGAUCCGCCUUCUUAGAUUUCUUUUUCUAUUUAUUUUUCCAUCUAGGAUUAGAACCGUAUACUUGGUAAUAAUAGCAACGACACAUUAUGGCAAAAAAAAGUUUGAUUCAGAGGGAGAAGAAGCGGAAGAAAUUAGAGCAGAAAUAUCAAUUGAUUCAUCAAUCUUUAAAAAAAAGAUAAGAAGCAAAGUUUCUCCCUUGAGUUUGAGUGAAAAAACGAAAAUUCGAGAAAAAUUGCAAUCCCUACCGCGUAAUAGUGCACCUACACGCCUUCAUCGACGUUGUUUUUUGACCGGAAGACCUAGAGCUAACUAUCGACAUUUUGGGCUAUCCGGACACGUACUUCGAGAAAUGGUUUAUGAAUGUUUGUUAGCGGGUGCAACAAGAUCCAGUUGGUAAGGAUAAAAUACCCUUUCGUAUUUGUAUGGAUUUCUGGAAUUGAUAAUCAUAGAGGAGCCCUCUUUACCAUUCUGUAUAAAUGGACUAUUCUAUUUGUAUAGAUAUGGUAGAGGGGCGUAUCCAACCCUCUUUUAUCCAGUAGUUACCCCUCUUUAGUUUAAGAGUAUAGAGCAGUUUGGUAGCUCAUAAGGCUCAUAACCUUGGGGUUGCGGGUUCGAUUCCCACUACCGGCUCCAUACUCCUUCUUUAUGAUAUAUGCAUGAUAUAUACAUCAUCCAUUUGUAUCUGGAUUUUUAGAUUUCCUAAAAGAGUUUUGGUCUAACAGUUUUUUCUCGGAAGAAGACAAAAAAUAAAAGAAGAAAAAAAUAUGAAAGAAAAGCGUCCAUUGUCUAAUGGAUAGGACAGAGGUCUUCUAAACCUUUGGUAUAGGUUCAAAUCCUAUUGGACGCAAUCUUAUUUCUAUCUAUUCUUUAAAUAACUAUACUAAACUGAAAACAAAGAAAACUUUUUUGCAUGAUUCAAAUGAAAAAUCUUUCUCAACGAUUCCUGUUCUACUAACAAGAGUAGACAUGCAAAAUAACAAGAGUAGACAUGCAAAAUUUAUUUGUUACUGAAGAGAAAACCGUUCCAGCUGUUCCUGAAUAGCUUCCUUCAAAAGGAUUUCCGCUUGCUCGGUGAAUGUCUUGCUAGAAGAUAGAAUUUAUUGGAAUUGAGGUUUAGUAUCUUUUAGGUGUUUACGUAACUCAUCCAGAAAUUUCUUUACCUGUUCAAUUUCUAACGAAUCAAGAUAUCCUCUUGUUCCGGUAUAAAUAGUAGCUAACCGCUCUUCCACUGGGAGAGGAUUUCCUGGGAUUGUUUAAGCAAUUCCCUUAAUUGUCGACCUCUUGCCAAUUGAUUCUGACUUGUUUUAUCGAGAGCAGAGGCGAAUUGUGCAAAGGCUUGUAACUCUGCAAAUUGAGCUAGUUCCAAUUUUGAUUUGCCAGCUACUUGUUUCAUGGAUUUAAUUUGAGCCGCGGAUCCUACUCUGGAAACAGAAAUACCCACAUUAAUAGCGGGUCGAAUUCCGGCAUUGAAUAGAUCCGCAGAUAAGAAUAUUUGUCCAUCUGUAAUGGAGAUUAUAUUAGUAGGAAUAUAGGCGGAAACGUCUCCAGAUUGAGUCUCAAUUAUUGGUAAAGCGGUCAUACUUCCUUCGCCUAAAAGAGAAUUUAAUUUAGCGGCUCUUUCUAAAAGGCGUGAAUGCAAAUAAAAAACAUCCCCUGGAUAAGCCUCACGGCCGGGAGGUCUUCUUAAUAGAAGGGACAUUUGGCGAUAAGCUUGUGCCUGUUUGGAGAGAUCAUCAUAAAUUAUUAAAGUAUGCCGUUCGCGUUACAUAAAAUACUCAGCCAGGGUUGCUCCCGUAUAAGGAGCGAGGUAUUGUAAUGUAGCAGGUGAAUCCGCCAUUUCAGCUACUACAAUAGUGUAUUCCAUGGCCCCCUCCUCAUGGAAAGUAGUUACUACUUGAGCUACGGAGGAUGCUCUUUGACCGAUAGCUACAUAAACACAUAUUACACCUUGCCCUUUUUGAUUUCGAAUUGUAUAUGUGGCUACUGCUGUUUUUCCAGUCUGUCUGUCCUCAAUAAUGAACUCUCGCUGACCGCGCCCUAUAGGGAUCAUCGAAUCGAUAGCAAUUCUAAAUGUUUGAAGGGGUUCAUAUACAGAACGCCUGGAAAUUCUACCUGGCGCAGGAGAUUCAAUUAAGCGAGAUUCCGAAGCUACAAUUUCGCCUCUCCCAUCAAUAGGUUUAGCCAGAGCAUUUAUAACACGACCCAAGUUAUAUACGCUCACGGGUAUCUGAGAAAUUCUUCCUGUUGCUUUUACAAAACUUCCCUCUUGAUGCUAAACCAUAGCUCUAACUGAGUCAACUUCCACAAUUUCUAAGAACGAUAUGCUUUUUUGCAUUUUCCACUGUGAAAGCUUCUCUCAAUCCCUCCCUAGUCCUUUCUUUCCUGGGCACAGGCUUACCUGGUUGACCGCCCACAUUCAUUCAUUGUUCGUUCUGUUGUGGAAUCGAACCACAGAGCUAGCGCAAUUGGGAUUUAGAGUCCCAUGCAUGAAACUAAAGAGGAUUUUCAGUCCUCUGCUCUACUAGCCAGAACCUAGAAGGACACUUCACACCCGAUUUGACACAGCUAGACUGGAAACACUGCUUGUCAAGAGCACAGACCCCAGUAUAGAAUACUUUUUUGAGUAUGUUGGUAAGGUCCGGUCAUCCGCUUCUGUGCUUGCACUUCUGCGUAACUAGGGGUGCAAGUCCAGUACAGCGUACUUUCAUAAUUGAAUCAAAAGCGUCGAUACAUGAAAAAUCUCUAUAUACGAUAUUUAUGACACAGAAUGUUGUUCUUUCAACAUGAUUCCUCAACAA
rnacentral:lncRNA from 1 species